rnacentral:lncRNA from 1 species
AUGAAUCGAAAGGUGCCUAAAGGGGGAAAUCUUUUAGCAUCUUUUGACAAGCAGCUAAUUAACUAUACAAAGGAAUAAGUGAUUAUAUCUACAAACCACUUUCUUUUUAUUUGCUUUUCACAUCUUUUAUAGCAACAGGACUUGGAUACUUUGUUUUUGAAAUGGUCCAGCUAAGAAACACGCCAUCCAAAGAAAAAACUCUUCUUUAAGUGUGUCGGCAUCGAAAGUAUGGAGCGUGAGGAAAGUUGCUUUGUCCACAGUUCUAUACUUCAAAUCUGUCCAUAGUUUUGUCCACAAUAUGAUUGAAGAAUGAAUAAAAUCUCCUGCUCCAUGCUGGUUUCUUCAAGUAGGGAGAGAGAUUUUUCUAAAUCUCAAUAACAAUGAAAUGCAUAGCAGACAUUUUGACAUUAUGGGAUGAUGGGAUGAUGCUAGCAAAGUGCAUAUGUGACCAUGAGUCUAUGCAGUUGAGCAUUGUAUGGGCAUCAUCAUUCAUCAAUGUCAUUGGCAGGGGUAGAAGCAGAUAAAGAAAAGUACCCAUCAACAAUGGCAUCCAGAGAAAACAAUGAACAUUAAUGACCAAACUGCAUCAGAAAAAUCAAAUUCAUAAACCACCAAAUAGAGAAAAAAAUUACCAUGACAUUGCAACAUAAAAGGGGUACUUAGAAUAUCCCCAUGAAGAAAGCAAUUUAGAAUGGGAGGUUUGUUCUGGAAGCGUGAAGAUAACAAUUAUGCAUUCCCUAGCUUAUUGUCCUUAGGCCUAAUCUCAACACCAUGAACGACAAGGCCAC